UAGGGAAUAUUGGACAAUGGAGGAAACUCUGAUCCAGCCAUGCCGCGUGAUAGAUGAAGGCCCUCUGGGUUGUAAAUAUCUUUUAUCUGGGAAGAAACAAUCUUAUUCUUAAGAUCUUGACGGUACCAGAGGAAUAAGCACCGGCUAACUCCGUGCCAGCAGCCGCGGUAAUACGGAGGGUGCAAGCGUUAUCCGGAUUCACUGGGUUUAAAGGGUGCGUAGGCGGGCUGAUAAGUCAGUGGUGAAAGCUCCGAGCUUAACUUGGAAACUGCCAUUGAUACUGCCAGUCUUGAAUGUCGUAGAGGUAAGCGGAAUGUUGCAUGUAGCGGUGAAAUGCUUAGAUAUGUUACAGAACACCAAUUGCGAAGGCAGCUUACUAUGCGAUGAUUGACGCUGAGGCACGAAAGCGUGGGGAGCAAACA
rnacentral:rRNA from 1 species